UUAAGCGACUAAGCGUACACGGUGGAUGCCCUGGCAGUCAGAGGCGAUGAAGGACGUGCUAAUCUGCGAAAAGCGUCGGUAAGGUGAUAUGAACCGUUAUAACCGGCGAUGUCCGAAUGGGGAAACCCAGUGCAAUUCGUUGCACUAUCGUUAACUGAAUACAUAGGUUAACGAGGCGAACCGGGGGAACUGAAACAUCUAAGUACCCCGAGGAAAAGAAAUCAACCGAGAUUCCCCCAGUAGCGGCGAGCGAACGGGGAGCAGCCCAGAGUCUGAAUCAGCUUGUGUGUUAGUGGAACGGUCUGGAAAGUCCGACGGUACAGGGUGAUAGUCCCGUACACCAAAAUGCACAGGCUGUGAACUCGAAGAGUAGGGCGGGACACGUGGUAUCCUGUCUGAAUAUGGGGGGACCAUCCUCCAAGGCUAAAUACUCCUGACUGACCGAUAGUGAACCAGUACCGUGAGGGAAAGGCGAAAAGAACCCCGGCGAGGGGAGUGAAAAAGAACCUGAAACCGUGUACGUACAAGCAGUGGGAGCACCUUCGGGUGUGACUGCGUACCUUUUGUAUAAUGGGUCAGCGACUUAUAUUCUGUAGCAAGGUUAACCGUAUAGGGGAGCCGCAGGGAAACCGAGUCUUAACUGGGCGUUAAGUUGCAGGGUAUAGACCCGAAACCCGGUGAUCUAGCCAUGGGCAGGUUGAAGGUUGGGUAACACUAACUGGAGGACCGAACCGACUAAUGUUGAAAAAUUAGCGGAUGACUUGUGGCUGGGGGUGAAAGGCCAAUCAAACCGGGAGAUAGCUGGUUCUCCCCGAAAGCUAUUUAGGUAGCGCCUCGUGAAUUCAUCUUCGGGGGUAGAGCACUGUUUCGGCUAGGGGGUCAUCCCGACUUACCAACCCGAUGCAAACUACGAAUACCGAAGAAUGUUAUCACGGGAGACACACGGCGGGUGCUAACGUCCGUCGUGAAGAGGGAAACAACCCAGACCGCCAGCUAAGGUCCCAAAGUCAUGGUUAAGUGGGAAACGAUGUGGGAAGGCACAGACAGCCAGGAUGUUGGCUUAGAAGCAGCCAUCAUUUAAAGAAAGCGUAAUAGCUCACUGGUCGAGUCGGCCUGCGCGGAAGAUGUAACGGGGCUAAACCAUGCACCGAAGCUGCGGCAGCGACACUAUGUGUUGUUGGGUAGGGGAGCGUUCUGUAAGCCUGCGAAGGUGUGCUGUGAGGCAUGCUGGAGGUAUCAGAAGUGCGAAUGCUGACAUAAGUAACGAUAAAGCGGGUGAAAAGCCCGCUCGCCGGAAGACCAAGGGUUCCUGUCCAACGUUAAUCGGGGCAGGGUGAGUCGACCCCUAAGGCGAGGCCGAAAGGCGUAGUCGAUGGGAAACAGGUUAAUAUUCCUGUACUUGGUGUUACUGCGAAGGGGGGACGGAGAAGGCUAUGUUAGCCGGGCGACGGUUGUCCCGGUUUAAGCAUGUAGGCUGGUUGUCCAGGCAAAUCCGGAUAAUCAAGGCUGAGGUGUGAUGACGAGGCACUACGGUGCUGAAGUAACAAAUGCCCUGCUUCCAGGAAAAGCCUCUAAGCAUCAGGUAACAUUAAAUCGUACCCCAAACCGACACAGGUGGUCAGGUAGAGAAUACCAAGGCGCUUGAGAGAACUCGGGUGAAGGAACUAGGCAAAAUGGUGCCGUAACUUCGGGAGAAGGCACGCUGGUGUGUAGGUGAAGCCCCUGCGGGUGGAGCUGAGACCAGUCGAAGAUACCAGCUGGCUGCAACUGUUUAUUAAAAACACAGCACUGUGCAAACACGAAAGUGGACGUAUACGGUGUGACGCCUGCCCGGUGCCGGAAGGUUAAUUGAUGGGGUUAUCCGUAAGGAGAAGCUCUUGAUCGAAGCCCCGGUAAACGGCGGCCGUAACUAUAACGGUCCUAAGGUAGCGAAAUUCCUUGUCGGGUAAGUUCCGACCUGCACGAAUGGCGUAAUGAUGGCCAGGCUGUCUCCACCCGAGACUCAGUGAAAUUGAACUCGCUGUGAAGAUGCAGUGUACCCGCGGCAAGACGGAAAGACCCCGUGAACCUUUACUAUAGCUUGACACUGAACAUUGAGCCUUGAUGUGUAGGAUAGGUGGGAGGCUUUGAAGCGUGGACGCCAGUCUGCGUGGAGCCAACCUUGAAAUACCACCCUUUAAUGUUUGAUGUUCUAACGUUGGCCCCUUACCGGGGUUGCGGACAGUGUCUGGUGGGUAGUUUGACUGGGGCGGUCUCCUCCCAAAGCGUAACGGAGGAGCACGAAGGUUAGCUAAUCCUGGUCGGACAUCAGGAGGUUAGUGCAAUGGCAUAAGCUAGCUUGACUGCGAGCGUGACGGCGCGAGCAGGUGCGAAAGCAGGUCAUAGUGAUCCGGUGGUUCUGAAUGGAAGGGCCAUCGCUCAACGGAUAAAAGGUACUCCGGGGAUAACAGGCUGAUACCGCCCAAGAGUUCAUAUCGACGGCGGUGUUUGGCACCUCGAUGUCGGCUCAUCACAUCCUGGGGCUGAAGUAGGUCCCAAGGGUAUGGCUGUUCGCCAUUUAAAGUGGUACGCGAGCUGGGUUUAGAACGUCGUGAGACAGUUCGGUCCCUAUCUGCCGUGGGCGCUGGAGAAUUGAGGGGGGCUGCUCCUAGUACGAGAGGACCGGAGUGGACGCAUCACUGGUGUUCGGGUUGUCAUGCCAAUGGCACUGCCCGGUAGCUAAAUGCGGAAGAGAUAAGUGCUGAAAGCAUCUAAGCACGAAACUUGCCCCGAGAUGAGUUCUCCCUGAGACUUUAAGUCUCCUGAAGGAACGUUGAAGACGACGACGUUGAUAGGCCGGGUGUGUAAGCGCAGCGAUGCGUUGAGCUAACCGGUACUAAUGAACCGUGAGGCUUAACCUU
rnacentral:rRNA from 1 species